GAAUUGACGGGGACCCGCACAAGCGGUGGAGCAUGUGGUUUAAUUCGAUGCAACGCGAAGAACCUUACCAGGUCUUGACAUCCCUCUGCAACACUUAGAGAUAAGUGCCUUCUUCGGAACAGAGGAGACAGGUGGUGCAUGGCUGUCGUCAGCUCGUGUCGUGAGAUGUUGGGUUAAGUCCCGCAACGAGCGCAACCCUUAUCUUUAGUAGCCAGCGGUAAGGCCGGGCACUCUAGAGAGACUGCCAGGGAUAACCUGGAGGAAGGCGGGGAUGACAUCAAAUCAUCAUGCCCCUUAUGACCUGGGCUACACACGUGCUACAAUGGUGACUACAAAGAGAGGCGAACCUGUGAAGGGGAGCGAAUCUCAAAAAAGUCAUCUCAGUUCGGAUUGUAGUCUGCAACUCGACUACAUGAAGCCGGAAUCGCUAGUAAUCGCGAAUCAGCAUGUCGCGGUGAAUACGUUCCCGGGUCUUGUACACACCG
rnacentral:rRNA from 2 species